rnacentral:rRNA from 1 species
GACGAACGCUGGCGGCGUGCUUAACACAUGCAAGUCGAACGGUGAAGCGAGUGCUUGCACUCGUGGAUCAGUGGCGAACGGGUGAGUAACACGUGAGUAACCUGCCCAUCACUCUGGGAUAAGCACUGGAAACGGUGUCUAAUACUGGAUACGACCAACCCUUGCAUGGGGUGUUGGUGGAAAGAUUUAUCGGUGAUGGAUGGACUCGCGGCCCAUCAGCUUGUUGGCGGGGUAAUGGCCCACCAAGGCGACGACGGGUAGCCGGCCUGAGAGGGUGACCGGCCACACUGGGACUGAGACACGGCCCAGACUCCUACGGGAGGCAGCAGUGGGGAAUAUUGCACAAUGGGCGAAAGCCUGAUGCAGCGACGCCGCGUGAGGGAUGACGGCCUUCGGGUUGUAAACCUCUUUCAGCAGGGAAGAAGCGAAAGUGACGGUACCUGCAGAAGAAGCACCGGCUAACUACGUG